AUUUUUAACGGUCAUUUAUCUGAUGAUCAUUUGAAGAGGAAGUCCAACGUUCAUUACGGAACACUCAACAUACAGAAUCAGCUUAAAUCAGAGUAUAGAAUCGCUAAAGUGGAACUAUAUUGUAGAAGAUCAGGGAAUCCAAAAGUGGGGAUUACUAGUAUUUCCAAGUACCAAGUACGGAUAGCGUAAAUACAGUGAGCAAGUGGAGCUGCAAGUAAUUUUGAGUUGGUUACUGUGAGCUAGGACACUCGAAUCGUGAUCAGACAGGUCGAGGUGUUAUCAGACAAUAUCAUGGCAUCCAGAUCUAUUCUUUUCUCACUCUGUGUGAUUCUAUUGAUCUAUACUGUCAACUCCAGAAAUCCCUUACAAGAAGCUUACGCUAACAUACGAUGUGGCCGAGUAGGCUACAGUCUUAAUGUCGAGGUCCACAACUGCGAGAAAAAGACCGUUGCUGUAAACAUUUGCCGGGGUACAUGUCUGUCUGCUUCGACACCCAGUGGAUCCCAAGAAGAGCAAGUCCCAAUGUGCACGUGCUGUACUGAGACGCAAAUAGAAACGAUAUCAGUUGGACUAUGGUGCAGAAGUGGGCCAAAUAGUGCAGAUUAUAAGACGUAUUAUCAUCAAGUUAAAAGUGCUGUAGAGUGUUCCUGCACUCCUUGUUAAAGAUAACGACUCAGAGCCUUAUAGGUCAAAUACAUAGAUCUCAACUAUAUAUAUAUCUUAUUACUGUACUGUAUGCAUAAAUACAGGGACUGACUGACUGCACCUGAAGUGUGUGCGUGCACCCACCACUUCCAAUUCAAUAGGACGAAGUUUGUGACUGCUUAAAUCAAACAAAAUAAAGAAAUAGUAGGUACUCGUUGUCCAUCAACGACCUAUAACUGUGCUUGUUUGCUUAA